AUGCAUUUCAAAGAGUAAAAGUUGAUGAAGUCCAGUUUGCUAAUGAAAGGCUGCAGGACAAUUCCUAUUGGGCUCUGGAUGAUUCAGGAUCUGGUUAUGGUGCAAAGGCUCAAGAAGUUCUGGGUCAAGUUAAAGGAAGGGAUUUCAGGCAUGAGAAGACCAA